CUAAAGUCCUAUAACACA
rnacentral:tRNA from 1 species